rnacentral:lncRNA from 1 species
CCACACACCACACACCAAUUUCACCAAUCAAUUGAAAAAGAAAUUGACACUACGUAAGAACUAAGAAUCAAUCAAAGGGAGACAAUCUUUUGGAAGGGAAAACAAAACAAAAAAGAAGUAAGAGGAGUGAAAGUUUGGGUACCCAUGGAGAAGGAAGAGUAGUUUGGCGCAGGGAACAAAGAUGUUCUCGAAAAUAAGAAAACGAAAAGAUAGAACAAUCAAG